GUCGGGACAACGUCGUCACGUCGCCACGCAGAUCGAGGGGAUUGGAGACGUGCAAGAGGAUUUAUCGGACAAAAGCGGCGUUAAUUGAAAGUGUUUCCGAUCGGCUCUGCGUGUGGCGUGUGUGAGUUCCGGCCGCCUGGAGGAGCAUAGUAUCGGCCGGAAGCCAGGAAUGCGGAAUGCGGGAUCAGGAUGCAGGAUGCAGGAGCAACGGGACGAUAACGGGCGCUGCCGGCCCAAUCAGUUGUUGGUUGUCGAAACAGUGAAGAAAGCCCGCGGCAGCUUCACCAUGAAUAUGCAUCAAAAGGCAAAGUUUAAUUUCACUGGGUGGUAAUUAAAUUCUUCGGGUUAAUUUCGGGCUUAAGUUUCUUUCGUUCGGAAUUCAUUACGUACAUCCGCCACCGUCGUCACUGAAGGAAACACGCGUCUCUUAUUUCCUACUCAUUUGCCCCGCGAUUACGAGCUUAAAAGCCCCUCAUAAAUUGGAAAAGCGCAGGAAAUCGGUAAAUCUUAUUAAUUCUUGCAAAGAUUGAUCAGUUAAUUGUAUUAUAAAAAUGCAAUAAAUAUUCGCUUAGCUUACAUACAUUUGGUGUGAUAAAUUUCUACUUUUCUUGCUAAAUAUGAAAAAAAAAA